rnacentral:rRNA from 1 species
UACGAAGGGGGCUAGCGUUGUUCGGAUUUACUGGGCGUAAAGCGCACGUAGGCGGAUCGUUAAGUCGGGGGUGAAAUCCUGGAGCUCAACUCCAGAACUGCCUUCGAUACUGGCGAUCUUGAGUCCGGAAGAGGUGAGUGGAACUCCUAAUGUAGAGGUGGAAUUCGUAGAUAUUAGGAAGAACACCAGUGGCGAAGGCGGCUCACUGGUCCGGUACUGACGCUGAGGUGCGAAAGCGUGGGGAGCAAACAGG